rnacentral:rRNA from 1 species
CCUACGGGUGGCAGCAGUGAGGAAUAUUGGUCAAUGGACGAGAGCCUGAACCAGCCAAGUAGCGUGAAGGAUGACUGCCCUACGGGUUGUAAACUUCUUUUAUAUGGGAAUAAAAUGUUGCACGUGUGGGAUUUUGUAUGUACCAUAUGAAUAAGGAUCGGCUAACUCCGUGCCAGCAGCCGCGGUAAUACGGAGGAUCCGAGCGUUAUCCGGAUUUAUUGGGUUUAAAGGGAGCGUAGAUGGAUUGUUAAGUCAGUUGUGAAAGUUUGCGGCUCAACCGUAAAAUUGCAGUUGAAACUGGCAGUCUUGAGUACAGUAGAGGUAGGCGGAAUUCGUGGUGUAGCGGUGAAAUGCUUAGAUAUCACGAAGAACUCCGAUUGCGAAGGCAGCUCACUGGACUGCCACUGACACUGAGGCUCGAAAGUGUGGGUAUCAAACAGGAUUAGAUACCCCAGUAGUC